ensembl:lncRNA
AGGCAGAGGAGGAGUGGGAGGCUGAGAGGCAGAGGGAGGCAGAAAAACUGCAGCAGAUGGGGGACCGGAUUCGUAGAUAUGAGGAGGCAGAGGAGGAGUGGGAGGCUGAGAGGCAGAGGGAGGCAGAAAAACUGCAGCAGAUGGAGGACCGGAUUCAUAGAUAUGAGGAGGCAGAGGAGGAGUGGGAGGCUGAAAGGCAGAGGGAAGCGGAAAAACUGCGGAAGAUGGAGGACCGGGCUCGCCGCUGUGAAGAGGAAGCGUUUCAUCUGAGGAAGAGACUGUGGCCGGAUGAGGAGAAGAAAUCUCAUUCCAACGGUUGGCACUCUGGAUCUGGCUCCCAGGAGACGGAGAGUGGGAGCAGCUGGAUACAGAGGAUACUGGCAGUGCUGUGGGAAGUACUAAAAAUCAUUUUUUACCGCCUUUCCGAGCUUCUAUAUAAAUGGCUCUGUACUGACAAAUAUUAGCGUUUCCCAUGAUCACAUCACCGCCAGCAAGUGCUUUUGUGCUUUUGUAAUUGGGAAGAAAUGGAAUUUUGGGGGAGGAUGUAACUAUUGGUGCACUCAGCAAACUUCUGACCAUCUACUCGAGGAAUUGCGGAUCAUCUACUUGGGGAAUCCCGCUCCUUGGCCUUCCUUUGCUCAGAGAGUGCACUGGUGUCAACAGUGGCUUUGAAAAGAGUGACCUUCAUGCUUCUGUACUCUUUGUGUUUCUUUAGUGUUGUGCUUUGCUUCUGAAUAUGCUAAGCAAGAAUAAAUAAAAAAAAAAAG